GUGUCAGCCGCCGCGGUAAUACGGAGGGUGCAAGCGUUGUCCGGAUUUAUUGGGUUUAAAGGGUGCGUAGGUGGCCUUGUAAGUCCGUGGUGAAAGCCUCUCGCUUAACGAGAGAACUGCCAUGGAUACUGCAAGGCUUGAGUCCAGACGAGGUUGGCGGAAUGGAUGGUGUAGCGGUGAAAUGCAUAGAUACCAUCCAGAACCCCGAUUGCGUAGGCAGCUGACUAGGCUGGUACUGACACUGAGGCACGAAAGCGUGGGGAGCGAACAGGAUUAGAUACCCCGGUAGUCC
rnacentral:rRNA from 1 species